rnacentral:rRNA from 1 species
UAGGGAAUCUUCCGCAAUGGACGCAAGUCUGACGGAGCAACGCCGCGUGAGUGAAGAAGGAUUUCGGUUCGUAAAACUCUGUUGUUAGAGAAGAACAGCGCAUAGAGUAACUGUUAUGCGUGUGACGGUAUCUAACCAGAAAGCCACGGCUAACUACGUGCCAGCAGCCGCGGUAAUACGUAGGUGGCAAGCGUUGUCCGGAUUUAUUGGGCGUAAAGCGAGCGCAGGCGGUCAAUUAAGUCUGAUGUGAAAGCCCCCGGCUCAACCGGGGAGGGUCAUUGGAAACUGGUUGACUUGAGUGCAGAAGAGGAGAGUGGAAUUCCAUGUGUAGCGGUGAAAUGCGUAGAUAUAUGGAGGAACACCAGUGGCGAAGGCGACUCUCUGGUCUGUCACUGACGCUGAGGCUCGAAAGCGUGGGUAGCAAACAGG